CCCUUAGAUGCUCUGGGCCGCACGCGCGCUACACUGGUCGAUGCAACGAGUUUCUUUCCUUGGCCGACAGGCCUGGGCAAUCUUUGAACAUCGAUCGUGAUCGGGAUAGAUUCUUGUAAUUUUUGAUCUUAAACGAGGAAUUCCUAGUAAACGCAAGUCGUCAGCUUGCAUUGAUUACGUCCCUGCCCUUUGUACACACCGCCCGUCGCACCUACCGAUUGAAUGGUCCGGUGAAAUCUCCGGACUGGCGUGAGUCGGAGCAAUCUGACAAACACCGGAAAGUUGAUUAAACCUUACCAUUUAGAGGAAGGUGAAGUCGUAACA
rnacentral:rRNA from 1 species